UACGUAGGUGGCAAGCGUUAUCCGGAAUUAUUGGGCGUAAAGCGCGCGUAGGCGGUUUCUUAAGUCUGAUGUAAAAGCCCACGGCUCAACCGUGGAAGGUCAUUGGAAACUGUUAAACUUGAGUGCAGGAGAGAAAAGUGGAAUUCCUAGUGUAGCGGUGAAAUGCGUAGAGAUUAGGAGGAACACCAGUGGCGAAGGCGGCUUUUUGGCCUGCAACUGACACUGAGGCGCGAAAGCGUGGGGAGCAAACAGG
rnacentral:rRNA from 1 species